UACAAUAUUUUGACUCUUCGUCUUACUUAAAAUUUUUUAUUAAUAUUUUUAUUCUUACUAGAUGAUAAAACAUGAAUAGUAUUUUAUACGUGAUUAAUUUUUUUAAGUUUUUAUAUAAAUUUUUCGAAUAAUACGAAUGGUCAAACGUUAGAUAUGAAAAACGA
rnacentral:pre_miRNA from 1 species